CAUUAUUAUUCUCCUGCUCUUGUUGUAUCGCUGCACAACAACCAACAGUGAGACCUUUCCCUUUACUUACUACAAACUCUUUAUCAUUCAAAGACACAAAUGCAUCAUGAGCUUCAUGUAAAAGCAAAAGUCUUAUUUUAUAAUUUAAUGAAGGUGCCGCUAAUGAGCAGACGCUCAAUCGGGAUGAAGAUCAGGAGCCAGUGUACUCCUCUCUUCUUCAUGGUGAUCGUUGUGUCUAUGAGACAGUCAGAAGAUGUGAAAACACUGAAAAUGGUCCAGCAGAAGGUGAUUACACCAACGUCACAUCUGUGAUUCAGCUGAAAGUCAUUAACAAGACAAGGCAACGUGGUGACCCAGAGGAGAGCUCUGACUACAAUGAUGUCAAUCCAAAUUCAGCCACAGCUCUAAAAUCUUAACAACAGCUCUUUAGCUGUUUUUCUCUUUUUCUCUUUAAAGUUUCUUAAAAACUCGAAGUCACUUUGAAUGAAAAUGAGAAGAUUUUGAAUUCAAAGCAAUGAUCCUCACACGCUGAGUUUAUAUUUCCUUUAGAAAAAAUCGCUCAGUGUGUUUCACUUGU